GAUCAUGGCUCAGGACGAACGCUGGCGGCGUGCUUAACACAUGCAAGUCGAGCGAUGAAGCUUCUUCGGAAGUGGAUUAGCGGCGGACGGGUGAGUAACACGUGGGUAACCUGCCUCAUAGAGGGGAAUAGCCUUUCGAAAGGAAGAUUAAUACCGCAUAAGAUUGUAGUACCGCAUGGUACAGCAAUUAAAGGAGUAAUCCGCUAUGAGAUGGACCCGCGUCGCAUUAGCUAGUUGGUGAGGUAACGGCUCACCAAGGCGACGAUGCGUAGCCGACCUGAGAGGGUGAUCGGCCACAUUGGGACUGAGACACGGCCCAGACUCCUACGGGAGGCAGCAGGUGGGGAAUAUUGCACAAGUGGGGGAAACCCUGAUGCAGCAACGCCGCGUGAGUGAUGACGGUCUUCGGAUUAGUAAAACUCUGUCGUUUGGGGACGAUAAUGACGGUACCCAAGGAGGAAGCCACGGCUAACUACGUGCCAGCCGCGGC
rnacentral:rRNA from 1 species